UACGUAGGGGCCGAGCGUUGUCCGGAGUUACUGGGCGUAAAGCGCGCGCAGGCGGCUCGUCAAGCCUGACGUGAAAGCCCCCGGCUCAACCGGGGAGAGUCGUCGGGGACUGGCGGGCUUGAGGUCGGCAGGGGUUGGUGGAAUUCCCGGUGUAGUGGUGAAAUGCGUAGAGAUCGGGAGGAACACCCGUGGCGAAGGCGGCCAACUGGGCCGGACCUGACGCUGAGGCGCGAAGGCGUGGGGAGCGAACGGG
rnacentral:rRNA from 1 species